rnacentral:rRNA from 1 species
AUGUGCUAAGAUUAAGCCAUGCAUGUCUAAGUAUAAGCAACUAUACGGUGAAACUGCGAAUGGCUCAUUAAAUCAGUUAUCGUUUAUUUGAUAGUACCUUACUACAUGGAUAACCGUGGUAAUUCUAGAGCUAAUACAUGCUAAAAACCUCGACUUCGGAAGGGGUGUAUUUAUUAGAUAAAAAACCAAUGCCCUUCGGGGCUCCUUGGUGAAUCAUAAUAACUUAACGAAUCGCAUGGCCUUGCGCCGGCGAUGGUUCAUUCAAAUUUCUGCCCUAUCAACUUUCGAUGGUAGGAUAGUGGCCUACCAUGGUAUCAACGGGUAACGGGGAAUUAGGGUUCGACUCCGGAGAGGGAGCCUGAGAAACGGCUACCACAUCCAAGGAAGGCAGCAGGCGCGCAAAUUACCCAAUCCCGACACGGGGAGGUAGUGACAAUAAAUACUGAUACAGGGCUCUUUUGGGUCUUGUAAUUGGAAUGAGUACAAUUUAAAUCCCUUAACGAGGAACAAUUGGAGGGCAAGUCUGGUGCCAGCAGCCGCGGUAAUUCCAGCUCCAAUAGCGUAUAUUAAAGUUGUUGCAGUUAAAAAGCUCGUAGUUGAACCUUGGGCCUGGCUGGCCGGUCCGCCUCACCGCGUGUACUGGUCCGGCCGGGCCUUUCCUUCUGGGGAACCUCAUGCCCUUCACUGGGCGUGUUGGGGAACCAGGACUUUUACUUUGAAAAAAUUAGAGUGUUCAAAGCAGGCCUUUGCUCGAAUACAUUAGCAUGGAAUAAUAGAAUAGGACGUGUGGUUCUAUUUUGUUGGUUUCUAGGACCGCCGUAAUGAUUAAUAGGGAUAGUCGGGGGCAUCAGUAUUCAAUCGUCAGAGGUGAAAUUCUUGGAUUGAUUGAAGACUAACUACUGCGAAAGCAUUUGCCAAGGAUGUUUUCAUUAAUCAGUGAACGAAAGUUAGGGGAUCGAAGACGAUCAGAUACCGUCGUAGUCUUAACCAUAAACUAUGCCGACUAGGGAUCGGACGGUGUUAGUAUUUUGACCCGUUCGGCACCUUACGAGAAAUCAAAGUUUUUGGGUU